ACUCCGCUCGCCUCUCCGACCGCCGCGGCCGGUUCUCUCUCCAGCUCUCCUUCUUCUCCCCGCCCCGGGCGAGCCGGGCGGGUGGCCGAGCCUCCCCGCGAGCUGCCAUCCGGCCACUCGGUUCUACAAAAGCCGGCGGCAGCCGAGAAGCGAGCGCCGAGACUCCAGGCUUGCGUGCUCUCCAGCCCCACGUGGAGCCAAGCUCCGCCCGGCCGCCGCUGAAGGGCUCCCGAGCUCGGGUGUCUCGGUGCUGGUCUCCCCUGCGUCUGGGCUGGGGGAGCACAAGGAUGCGGCCAUAUCUCAGCACACGCAUGUGUGGGCUUCCUCUCCACUGCGCCCCACCCGCAGCCAUGUGCGGGUACCCAAACACCCCCGGUGUAUCUGUACUCGAACACGCGCCAACACACUGGGACUGAAACACACACCGAAAAACACGUACACACAAACACGUACACAGCCUGCGCGGCUGGCCCUGCCUGAGCUCCUGGGGAAGAUGGAUUUGGGAUUUUUAUGAAAUGCAUUUACCAGCCCUUUUGGAUCUCGUCUUUCAUUUGCAUGCGGGCCCCCAUAUUCCACCUGGAUGUGGGUGUGGGUGUAGAGAAGAGAAUGGAGGAUCUGGACAAAGCGAGCACAGCGAGAGACUGGGUUCUGAGCCUGUCCCCUCCAAGCCGCUGCCCUCACCUCGAGGCCCGGCUGGGUGCACAGCACAGGGUAAGGGGUGGGCGAUUGGGUUGGGGGAGGCGCGCCAGCCUGGUAUCUUCUCUAGGCAUCGCACUUAUCUCUCGGUGCCUCAGUUCUUUCUCCACCCCGGGGACUUAAUCUGGCCAGAAGUCGGGGAGGGAGGGUGAAUUUGUAAAACAAACCGUGAAACGCCCCCACCUCAGAGGCGAGUUGACUGUUUUUAGUACGGGUAGGGUGGGGGCCUCCUCUUAGGCGGACGGGAGGGAAACGACCGGAUCUUACCAAUCGCCGAAUUACCAACUCUGUUACCGCAGCGCCCGGUCGGGGUCAGAGGAUUCGCCUAAGCCCACAGUUCUUGAUUCUGGGGGCCAAUGUCUUGGACCAUCCUUGCUUAGAUGGAGGGAAAUCUUGAAAACAAUGUUCUUUUAUCUUUCCU
rnacentral:lncRNA from 10 species